ACUGGGGAUGGUGGUGCAUGCCUGUUGUCCCAGCUACUUGGGAGGCUGAGGCGGGAGGAUCACUUGAGCCCAGGAGUUCUGGGCAGUAGUGUGCUAUGCCGAUCUGGUGUCUGCACUAACUUCAGCAUUAAUAUGGUGACCUCCCAGGAAUGGAAGGGAGACCAGCAGGUUGCCUAAGGGGGUGAACCAGCCCAGGUCAGCAAUGGAGCAAAUCAAAACUCCUGUGCUGAUCAGUAGUGGGAUCAUGCCUGUGAACAGCCUGGGUAACAUAGCCAGGUCCCAUCUCUA
ensembl:misc_RNA Metazoa_SRP Metazoan signal recognition particle RNA